GGGGUUGUGGCUCCUGUGGUAGAGCGCUUGCCUCGCAUGUGAGAAACCCUGGGUUCGAUCCUCAGCACCACA
rnacentral:tRNA from 1 species